UAAAGCCAACUGUUGGGAGGUUUGGGUUAAGAAUUUUCUUGAAAAUUUGCACCCAACCAAACCAACCAACAACUUAUUAUCAUCCAUACUAGCUAGGUAGCAUCCCCAACCUAAACUUGAGUUUAGGGAGGAUUCCUAAACUCGAGUUUAGGAAAACACACACUUUAUAAUAUAAUAUAAUAUAUAGGUCAGAUUGGAUUGGAAUAUGAGCACGAAGGUGAAAGGUCUGUUCAAAGGGCUCAAAUACAUAUCCCAGAUAUUUGAAGAAGAAAAGGAGGCAGAAAUACAGAUAGGGUUUCCUACAGAUGUGAAGCAUGUUGCGCAUAUUGGAUGGGAUGGACCUUCUGCCCAGGAUAACCCAAGCUGGAUGAAGGAUUUCAAAGGGCAAUCAGCCCCACUAGAUGCAACUCCGGGUUUGGGUUCGGGUGACCCCAACACCAACACAGAGGCUUCUGACAUCAAAUGGGCUUCUGAAGAUAAAAAAAGUCGGAGAAGCAGAGGAACAGGAACAGGAGGAGAAACGCCGGAAUUACCAAAGUCAACCAGACGGCAGUCUCCGUCUUCCUCCGCCGCCGCCUCCGACAACCCUGAUUCCCCUAAAGCCGCCGCCUCCAAGCCGCGACAAAACAGGCGGCACCAUUCCAAAGACGGCUCCGACGUUUCCAAAUCCUCUGAACUAGGAGGCCUCACCGCAUCUGAAUCAUCCGCCCCACACCUCCCCAAGAAGACCCGGCGGAAGAAGUCUAAGGAAUCCGACGCCAUCGGCACUCCCUCCUCUUGCAGAAAAUCAUCCAGAGCGGCCCCCUCCCACCCCGCCGCCGCCGCCGCCGCAACCUCCGCUCCUGACGGCGAGGCAGAUAACGGCGACCAUUGUGAAGAAGCUCCGGCGAAGGAGGAUUAUGGCGGCAAGUAGCCUGACGUGGCUCCAUUUCCAUCUUUUAUUCAGAUUUUGGUUACGUUGUUGGUAACUAUGCGGAGUUCGAUCCUAUUACCACCUCUCAAAAUGGUAACAGAGAUGUGUCAUCACACUCAAUGUUGCAGAACGCUCUAGGCGCUAGUCGGGCGCCUAGGCAGUGCCUAGACGACCAAGUAAUCUAAGUAUAUCGUCUUUACUUUUUUCAAUCAGGGUUAGAAGUUGUUAGAUUAUUAUAAUUCUCAAACUAGUCAAUUGCAUAUGUUAGAUGGUUAGUUGAGUACAUGGCUGAAGAAAUAUAAACGAGGAGUAACCGAGUAGGAAAAAAGUCACUCAACCGAGUUAACCACCAACUUGAUCGAGUUGGACACUAAUUCGAUCGAGUUAGGCACCUGACUCGACUGAAUUAGGCGCUCAACUUUACCGGCUAAAAGCCGUCUAGAGCUAAAGUUGCCUCAACCUCAGAGCGCCUAGUUGACGGUCACCUAGAUCGAUCUUUACAAUACUGAUCACACUACAUAAUGUGUAGUUAAUAUGAUUACGUAUCUUUCCCUUUAUAUUAUUAAUUAAACAUAAACUAAUUCAAAUUAUAACAUUUUUAAAAAGUCUAAUACGAUAAAAUAAGAAUAAGAAUAAAAAUAUUCAAUUAAAAAAAAAAAGAAUAAAAAUAUUCCUACCGUCAUAAGGACGCUAAAGGGGUAUAAAGGCGUGCGCGUAAAGCAAAACGGUCUUUCUUGUUUUUUCAAAACGGUUAAUUUACGCGGGUCCGAAGUCCGAAACACAACCUCCCCCCCCCCCCCCCCCCCCCC